CAGACGCUAGUCCGGCCAUUCUAAGGUCCGGUAACUGUCUUUCUGUGGGUUUCAUGCUGUGUGAAGGGGUCAUUGUUGUGACUUUGGUCACUGUCGUGACACAGCGCAGUUGUAAACAUUCUAAUUGUUUUGGUGCUAAACUGUUAAAUAGUGCAUUUUGGGGGUGCACUUCAAAUCUGAGAGUCAAAUAGAAGAGUCAAAUAGUGCGCUUACUGAG